rnacentral:rRNA from 1 species
UGGACCCGUGAUCCGGGUUGCGGACAGUGUCUGGUGGGUAGUUUGACUGGGGCGGUCUCCUCCUAAAGAGUAACGGAGGAGCACGAAGGUUGGCUAAUCCUGGUCGGACAUCAGGAGGUUAGUGCAAUGGCAUAAGCCAGCUUGACUGCGAGCGUGACGGCGCGAGCAGGUGCGAAAGCAGGUCAUAGUGAUCCGGUGGUUCUGAAUGGAAGGGCCAUCGCUCAACGGAUAAAAGGUACUCCGGGGAUAACAGGCUGAUACCGCCCAAGAGUUCAUAUCGACGGCGGUGUUUGGCACCUCGAUGUCGGCUCAUCACAUCCUGGGGCUGAAGUAGGUCCCAAGGGUAUGGCUGUUCGCCAUUUAAAGUGGUACGCGAGCUGGGUUUAGAACGUCGUGAGACAGUUCGGUCCCUAUCUGCCGUGGGCGCUGGAGAACUGAGGGGGGCUGCUCCUAGUACGAGAGGACCGGAGUGGACGCAUCACUGGUGUUCGGGUUGUCAUGCC